rnacentral:rRNA from 1 species
UGGGGAAUAUUGCACAAUGGGGGGAAACCCUGAUGCAGCAACGCCGCGUGAGUGAAGAAGUAUUUCGGUAUGUAAAGCUCUAUCAGCAGGGAAGAUAAUGACGGUACCUGACUAAGAAGCUCCGGCUAAAUACGUGCCAGCAGCCGCGGUAAUACGUAUGGAGCAAGCGUUAUCCGGAUUUAUUGGGUUUAAAGGGAGCGUAGGCUGUCCUUUAAGCGUGUUGUGAAAUGUAGGCGCUCAACGCCUGCACUGCAGCGCGAACUGAAGGACUUGAGUGUGCACGACGCUGGCGGAAUUCGUGGUGUAGCGGUGAAAUGCUUAGAUAUCACGAAGAACUCCGAUUGCGAAGGCAGCUGGCGAGAGCACAACUGACGCUGAAGCUCGAAAGUGCGGGUAUCGAACAGGAUUAGAUACCCUGGUAGU